AAUUCUUUGAGCCCUGUCGCCAUCCUCUUCCUCCGCCCCUCCCUCCCCCCACCACCCCUGCCUCGCCCAUCCUCUGCAAAGUUGCACCGUCGCCGUCGACCCUCCCUCUGUCUAGAACCCCCUCCAUUCCUUUACAUUUCUCCCAAAAUGUAAAUCAGCGACUUGCAAUAGAAAGAAUCCAAGCGUACAGACAUGGCUCGUACCAAAUGGGGUUUCUGUGUUUGAGCAGGCGACUCAAAGCUGUUGCUUUCUACUAAGAGAGGGUUGCAUGGGAUUUCACCAUGACAUAUAUAGCAUUUGCUUUCUCUUGUAAUCUUGAGAGCUCUUUUAUAUCAGAUAUCACAAUUGACGAUGUGAAAGAGGCUGCAUUUGAACUCAUUUCAAGUGGUCUUGUGCCCAUUCACUCUAAUCUCUAUGUUCCUUGCUGGAUAUCUAGAUUUGUGUGAAAGACUCAUCUUAAAUGGGAGUUUAAAUGAGGUAACUCACGUUCAGUUUGCUUUUAGUUGCUAGUAUUGGUAGAACAGAUACAACUUGAUUAUGGGGUUGCUGGCUAGAGUUCUUUGAAGUUUUGACCACCAGCAGACUAAAAGGUGCAGUGACACGGGGGAUAUCGUUCAGAAGCAUACAAGAAAAAAUGUAGUUUGGAAGAGGUGGGAUGACUUGUUGCGAUGCGAGUAUGAAGUUCGGAAAAAGGAAACUAAAGUAAGAGAGAGAGGCAAAUCUUUAGAAGUGAAAUAAAAAAUUAUUGUGUUUGUAUUGAGUUGUAUCAAUUGUAAUAGUUUUUGCAUGGUUUGAAUAAACUGUAACAUGUAAAUAACUCGGUAGCAUCUACUUUGUAUAUAUCAAAUGUACAGCCCACUAUGUAAUGGUACCUACCCUUAAAUAGUUUUGCCAGCCAGUCCUCAGUAAUAGAGCUGGUGUUGAUUUAUUUUUGUACUUCUGGUUUGAGUUUGACGAAACAAUAGAAACAUUGGAAUAUUAUUAAAAUAAAAUAUCCUUGCUUGAUUGUUA